rnacentral:rRNA from 1 species
GGCAGUCGAGCGGGGAAGGGUAGCUUGCUACCUGACCUAGCGGCGGACGGGUGAGUAAUGCUUAGGAAUCUGCCUAUUAGUGGGGGACAACAUUCCGAAAGGAAUGCUAAUACCGCAUACGCCCUACGGGGGAAAGCAGGGGAUCUUCGGACCUUGCGCUAAUAGAUGAGCCUAAGUCAGAUUAGCUAGUUGGUGGGGUAAAGGCCUACCAAGGCGACGAUCUGUAGCGGGUCUGAGAGGAUGAUCCGCCACACUGGGACUGAGACACGGCCCAGACUCCUACGGGAGGCAGCAGUGGGGAAUAUUGGACAAUGGGCGAAAGCCUGAUCCAGCCAUGCCGCGUGUGUGAAGAAGGCCUUUUGGUUGUAAAGCACUUUAAGCGAGGAGGAGGCUACUUGGAUUAAUACUCUAGGAUAGUGGACGUUACUCGCAGAAUAAGCACCGGCUAACUCUGUGCCAGCAGCCGCGGUAAUACAGAGGGUGCGAGCGUUAAUCGGAUUUACUGGGCGUAAAGCGUGCGUAGGCGGCUUCUUAAGUCGGAUGUGAAAUCCCUGAGCUUAACUUAGGAAUUGCAUUCGAUACUGGGAAGCUAGAGUAUGGGAGAGGAUGGUAGAAUUCCAGGUGUAGCGGUGAAAUGCGUAGAGAUCUGGAGGAAUACCGAUGGCGAAGGCAGCCAUCUGGCCUAAUACUGACGCUGAGGUACGAAAGCAUGGGGAGCAAACAGGAUUAGAUACCCUGGUAGUCCAUGCCGUAAACGAUGUCUACUAGCCGUUGGGGCCUUUGAGGCUUUAGUGGCGCAGCUAACGCGAUAAGUAGACCGCCUGGGGAGUACGGUCGCAAGACUAAAACUCAAAUGAAUU